rnacentral:rRNA from 1 species
UACGAAGGGGGCUAGCGUUGUUCGGAUUUACUGGGCGUAAAGCGCACGUAGGCGGAUCGAUCAGUCAGGGGUGAAAUCCCAGAGCUCAACUCUGGAACUGCCUUUGAUACUGUCGAUCUGGAGUAUGGAAGAGGUGAGUGGAAUUCCGAGUGUAGAGGUGAAAUUCGUAGAUAUUAGGAAGAACACCGGUGGCGAAGGCGGCCCACUGGCUCGAUACUGACGCUGAGGUGCGAAAGCGUGGGGAGCAAACAGG